GAGACGGGUGCACUGUGCAGAGGGAAUUUUUUUUUCAGCGCCGGAUCCUGCAGAGGGGCGAGGCGCUCUAUUUUGUUUUGUGGAAAUCGGCAAUUAUUUCUAGUUGGAUCAAUGGGCAUAAUUUCUGAGAGGUCGGGUGGGUCUGCGUAAGCUUCUACGCGCAUUUGGAAACCCAUUGGGUUUUGAGUUACGAAACCGCACAGACUUUCUCCCACCCCAGCGGCUCCGGGCAAUAAGCUAGGCCUGCCCUACACGGAGCAAGCGAGCGUCAGGCCUUCCCGAGGGAUUCCCAGAAGCAUGACCCGGUUCUGGUCGCAGUCCACCGAGGAUUGGAGCGGCAGUGACACGGGCGGCCCUGCAGCGGUAGAGCCAAGGGAGUACAAGGUUCUCAGCUGGGGUCCACUGAGGAGGUAGGAAGAAAAGAGAGCUGCCACUCCUGCCUGGAGCUGAACAACAGGCCAAGAAGAGUUUGGUGUUGGAUGUGACAGAGAAAACAUUAAAGGAAUAUUCUGGUUGAGCUCUUCCUUGAAUUUUCAGGAUGGGUCUCAUGUAGACCAGGCUGGCUCAGUUCCCCGUGUUUGCCCAGGAUGACCUUGAAUGUCUGUUCCUCCAGCAUCUACCUCUCCAGGGCUGAGAUUACAAGCAUGAGGGGGCGGGUUGUUGCUGAGAACAGAACACUAAGCACUUGACAUUCCCAACUCCCAACUCCCAUUCUCGGUAUUUUUGUAUUCUUGUUUUCUCAAGACUGAUGUCUGUAUACACACACACACACACACACAUACACACACACACACACACACACACACACACACACACACACGCAGAUAUUUUAGGCUCAUGAAUCUGCCAGCACUUGAGGUUCAAGACUAAUGAACUUUUGCAGCACGCCAGGGUUGCCUUGAUGUGAGUCCCCCUGGCUCAUUCAGCUCCAUACAGUUCUGCCAGAGCAAAACAGUCACAUGUGUCCCUUGCUUUGUGGAAGCAGUUUCUCUGGGGGCGGGGGGGGGGAGCCUGGGGGGUCACUGACCUGGGUCCCGGUCAGGCUCUCUGACUACAGAGUCCCGCCACCCCCACCCCACCCCGAGCACCUUCAUCAUUGGCCUCUUCAUUGUUGGACCUGGGGAAGGCUUUCAAGCAGAUCUGUUGGGCUAGGUACUUGCCAAAGAGUCAGCCUCCAUGAGAAAAGUUCAGACUUCUUUGGGUACCCGAUUUCUCUCUUCCUCUCCCAUUGACAGCCAGCGAAGUGGGUAGAGGACCCUGGUUUUCUGGCCCUUAGCAACUGGGUUCCAGGAUGAAGGAUGAAUGAAAUCUUGCUUUCCAAACCUAAUGGUUGUGUGCCCAUAUCCCAGCCUCUAUCAAAGCCUUGAGGCCAGCACACACUGCCCUGGAGGCAGGAGGAAGGGCUAUACUCAGGUGUAGGGAACAGGAAGACAGACCCAGCAGUUAAACUUCACAUCCACAUCUUAGUCCCUGGCACCCCAGGUAGGAGUUGAAUGGGAGCCCCUUGUGUAGGGGAAGUUCCUCCCACCCACCCCUGCAUGCUGCCCAGUUGUGGGCUAGCCUGCUGAGUGAGCCUGUGGGAUAGGGCUAUGAGGAUCACAAGGCCUGACUGUCCUUACGUUCCCCUCCAAAUCUCUCUAUUUCCAGGAGAAAAGGCAGGUCGCCAUUAGCCUCUCCUCUGUGCUGAUAUCCUGGGGCCCAGGUAGGGGGUCAUAGAAGGGUCCCAGGCCAUGCUCAGAUCUGUACCCUGUGCUCAAGGCUGCCUGAGUCCAAAAGCAGAUUUACUUCCUUAGAAAGGGAAUUGAGAGUUUAGUCCAGCUCAGUGCCUAAAAUGGAGGCUCUAGGGUCCCCACUGUCAGGUCCUGUCCCUCUAUUCCCUGCACCUAGGCUGCCUUACCACCCUACAGGGAAUGUCUCCCUGGGAAGUCUUCUAAAUCUCCAGGAUUGGGGCCUCCAAGUCUCCUUCUGUAAACAUUGCCCACACAGCCCUUGUAUGCUGUACUGGGGGUGGAACCCUAGGGUUUUAUUCAUGAUAAGCAAGCUUUCUCAUUCCCAGCCUCUGCUGUUGUGCUUGGUUUUUUGGCAUUUUUUAAUUUUUUUGGUUUUGUUGUUGUUGUUUUUUUAUGACACAGGGCCUCGCUCUGUAGACCAGGCUGGCCUCACACUCAGAAAUCUGUCUGCCUCUGCCUCCCAAGUACUGGGAUUAAAUGUGUGAAUCACCACCUUGCCCAGCCUAUCGUUGAACAUUAUUUAUAAUUGCAUGUCA
rnacentral:lncRNA from 7 species